rnacentral:rRNA from 1 species
CAAUAGCGUAUAUUAAAGUUGUUGCAGUUAAAAAGCUCGUAGUUGGAUUUCGGGACGGGCCAGUUGGUCCGCCGCAAGGUGUGUUACUGACUGGUCUGUUCUUCUUCGCAAAGACUGCGUGUGCUCUUCGUUGAGUGUGCGUAGGAUUUACGACGUUUACUUUGAAAAAAUUAGAGUGUUCAAAGCAGGCUAUCGCUUGAAUACAUGAGCAUGGAAUAAUGGAAUAGGACUUUGGUCCUAUUUUGUUGGUUUCUAGGACCGAAGUAAUGAUUAAGAGGGACAAUUGGGGGCAUCCGUAUUUCGUUGUCGGAGGUGAAAUUCUUGGAUUUACGAAAGACGAACAACUGCGAAAGCACUUGCCAAGAGUGUUUUCAUUAA